rnacentral:rRNA from 1 species
AUGAGCAUAUUUCAUGAAACAGGGUCACUGCACGCUAAAGCAAUGGCUCAGGGGCCGCUGGACCUCUGGAAUCAUUGGUCAAUCCAGAUCCUAGUGCUCUUCAGCCUCGCUCUCCAGGUUUUCCUCUUUGUCUUCGCCAGAAUCCGUCAACGUGGAACCAACCCUCUGCUGAGGAUCCUGCUGUGGUUGGCUUACAUGCUGGCUGACUCCACCGCGAUAUAUGCCCUCGGCCACCUCUCUCUCAGCAGGAGCAGCAAAGGGCUCGAUCAAGAGCAGCUCGUCGCUUUCUGGGCGCCGUUCCUCUUGCUGCACCUAGGUGGCCCGGACAGCAUAACUGCCUACGCCCUCCAGGACAACCAGCUCUGGUUGCGCCACCUGCAGAUUCUCGUCGUGCAGGUCCUCGGAGCAGGCUAUGUUCUGUACAAACGCAUUGCUGACAACGGGUUCUUUGUCAUGCUGGCCUCUAUCCUAAUGUUAGCUGUAGGUUUUGUCAAGUAUGUGGAGCGGACAUGGGCUCUCCAGCGCGGGAACAUGGAUACCAUCCGGAGCUCUCUCAAGAAUGAGCCACAUGUCAAACAUCAUCAGUUCCAUGCUCUGGAUCAAGGGUUCAGAGAGGGGGCCGCCAACGAGGAAGAACUCUAUGUGCGUCGUGCUCACUCCAUGUUCCACGUAUGCAAGCGUGCCAUAGUUGAUUCUUGGAUUGAAAAGGAUUCAGAAAACCAUGGUGGUGAGAUGCUUAGAGACAUUAGAAACGAAGACUACAAAGGUAUGUGGACAUUGAUGGAGGUGGAGCUCUCCCUGCUGUAUGACAUCUUGUAUACCAAGGCGGCCGUGAUCCACACUUGGCCUGGCUAUGGCAUCCGUGUUGUCUCACCACUUGCCACUGUCGCCUCCUUCCUGUUGUUCCACUUCAGUGUCAAAGAUAGUCACGGUAGAGUUGAUGUUGCUAUCACAUACACCUUGCUGUCUGGGGCCUUCCUCCUGGAGAUGGCAUCGUUGUUGAUCGCGCUAGGGUCGUGUUGGACAUACGCCUUCUUGUGCACAACACGUUGGAGCUGGCUCCGUUACACUGCUUUGUGCACUGGAAGGUGGGAUCAGCUUCGUCAGCUUGUCAAGAAGUUCACAAGAAGGCAAGUUGGUGGUCAGGCAAGGAGGUGGUCCGGUGAAAUGGGGCAGUACAACAUGCUGCACUUUUGCAGCCGUCACGACACAGUCUUCAGUCCUCUUGUCGGUAGAUUGGCGAAGUUGUGGGGACAAAAUGAGUUGUGGAACAGAAAGCAUUACUCGGGGAGCAUUCAGAUUACAGAUGAGCUGAGGCUGUGGUUGCACCGGUACAUAGAAAGAUUUUCAAGGAGAAACAAGGUGAACACGCAAGGCAUGCUCAGGACUAAUUGGGGUGCAGAGGCAUUGCAGCAUUAUGGUUGCUUUGAUGAUUUCAAAGGCUACCUUGGAGUUGAGCUCCAAGAGGGCAUCAUUAUCUGGCACAUUGGCACUGAUGUUUUCCUUGCUAGAAGUAGUCGAUCCAAGGCUUAUGAUGCAGCCCAGGAGCAAGUGGUGAAGAGCAUUAGGACACUGUCCAAUUACAUGAUGUUUCUCCUAGUUGAGCGACCCGACAUGCUACCCGGCCUUGCUCAGACGAGGCUGUACCAGCAGACCUGCCAGAAUUUGGUUGACAUGUGGCGUAAGUCUGAGCCCUCAAGUCGCAGUGGUCCAACCAAGAAUUUCCGUACUAUGCUCAAGGAGUUAUUCCGCAUCCGUGACGACCCCAAUACUUCUCGGCUGUCGGAAAGAGACAAGCUUGCUAUCACCCUCUACAACGAGAAGCCACGCUACAGCACAGAUGUUCCUCGCCUCUGUUAUGCCAACUGGGUCACUGAAGCGCUGCUCAAAAGAGAAGAGGAGAAAGGCAGCGUGUCCGUCUUGGAACUAGUCCUACGUGUGUGGAUGGAUUUUCUAUUCUACACUGCCAAUAGAUGCAGCAGGGAAUCCCAUGCCAAGAAGCUCAGCAGUGGCGGUGAGUUGACAACCAUCUUGUGGCUAAUGGCAGACUACUUUCACAAACAUACCGUCCUCAAUGCACCAGAGGAGGUUUGA